GACGAACGCUGGCGGCGUGCUUAACACAUGCAAGUCGAGCGGUAAGGCCCUUUCGGGGGUACACGAGCGGCGAACGGGUGAGUAACACGUGGGUGACCUGCCCUCAGCUCUGGGAUAAGCCUGGGAAACCGGGUCUAAUACUGGAUAUGACUCCAUGACGCAUGCUGUGGGGGUGGAAAGCCUUGUGCGGCUGAGGAUGGGCCCGCGGCCUAUCAGCUUGUUGGUGGGGUGAUGGCCUACCAAGGCGACGACGGGUAGCCGGCCUGAGAGGGCGACCGGCCACACUGGGACUGAGACACGGCCCAGACUCCUACGGGAGGCAGCAGUGGGGAAUCUUGCGCAAUGGGCGAAAGCCUGACGCAGCGACGCCGCGUGAGGGAUGACGGCCU
rnacentral:rRNA from 1 species